ensembl:lncRNA
CAGGCCAGGGCUCGGAAAGCCUGGUGCUCCCUUCUUACUCCUCCACUUCCCUCUGGGCUGGAUAAACACGUUCCCAGAGACCCCAGCUGGUGUCUGGGAGCCAACAGAAGCUGUUGCACCCUCCCUUGCUGGAGCUGCCGCCGCUACGGUAGAAAGACUUGAAAGGACAGGACGUCUCCAAGUUGGACAGGACUUCCCUGGUGGCUCAGGGGAAAGAAUCCGCCUGCCAAGGAAGGAGACACAGGUUUGAUCCCUGGCUCGUCAAGAUCCCCUGGAGGAGGAAAUAGCAACCCCCACUCCAGUAUUGUUGCCUGGAGAAUCCCAUGGACAGAGGAGCCUGGUGGUUACAGUCCGUGGGGUUGCAAAGAAUUAAUUGGACAUGAUUGAGCACUAAGCAACAACUUCAAGCUGGAAAACAACCCAGAGCACACUCAUUCCCCCGAUGCAGGAAGCCCAGGCUCCUGCAGGCAUCCUCUUGCGAGCGUCUGGGUGCUGCUAGCUUUCCCCACUCCCAGGAGGAGACCUGAAAACGCCUUCACACGAUGGACGUUAUGAAGGAUGCUUCUACCGUUAACAUACCCAGCCUCUCCCCUGGCCUGUCUGUACCCUCCCACUCCAGUGAUGAGAAACUUGGCUCCCAGGAUCUGCCAUCCGUGUGUCUAACCCUUCAGCUUCAGAUUUCACGACUCAGGGCUUCAUUUCCCAUACUCCGACAGGUAACAACUGUCUUAUUAUCUCAGGAUUCCAUUACAG